GGGGACGUGGCGGAACUGGCAGACGCGCAUGACUUAGGAUCAUGUGGUUUACCCGUGAGAGUUCGAGUCUCUCCGUCCCCA
rnacentral:tRNA from 1 species